UACGGGGGGAGCAAGCGUUGUUCGGAUUUACUGGGCGUAAAGGGCGCGUAGGCGGUCGUGACAAGUCACUUGUGAAAUCUCCGGGCUUAACUCGGAACGGUCAAGUGAUACUGUCGGACUAGAGUACAGAAGGGGCAACUGGAAUUCUCGGUGUAGCGGUGAAAUGCGUAGAUAUCGAGAGGAACACCUGCGGCGAAGGCGGGUUGCUGGGCUGAUACUGACGCUGAGGCGCGAAAGCCAGGGGA
rnacentral:rRNA from 1 species